AGCUCAGCCGGUAGAGCAUCUCCCUUUUAAGGAGGGGGCCGUUGGUUCGAAUCCAACA
rnacentral:tRNA from 1 species